rnacentral:ribozyme from 1 species
AAAGGAAAGUGAAGUGUGAAAGUCUCAUUUAUCUUUUCAUGGUCAUUUCCCUAUUCAUGUACUUUCGUUCUUCUUUCUUUCUUAUUCUGAAAUUAUUAUUUGAAGUGGGAGUUGGGAGGACCUCCUGUCGCCCACUACAAUAAUUCAUCUCUUUUUCAUGUUGAUCCUAAACUACAAUCUCAAUGAUUCUCAAUCUUUUUCUACUAAGAAUAUGAUAAUGGCGGCUCCUACUUUCCAGCAGCCAGAAAAGUAAAAAAAUUGAAGUGACGGCGUUCCUU